UACGUAGGGUGCGAGCGUUGUCCGGAAUUAUUGGGCGUAAAGAGCUUGUAGGCGGUUUGUCGCGUCUGCCGUGAAAAUCCGGGGCUCAACCCCGGACUUGCGGUGGGUACGGGCAGACUAGAGUGUGGUAGGGGAGACUGGAAUUCCUGGUGUAGCGGUGAAAUGCGCAGAUACCAGGAGGAACACCGAUGGCGAAGGCAGGUCUCUGGGCCACUACUGACGCUGAGAAGCGAAAGCGUGGGGAGCGAACAGG
rnacentral:rRNA from 1 species